rnacentral:rRNA from 1 species
AUUGAACGCUGGCGGAAUGCUUUACACAUGCAAGUCGAACGGCAGCACGGGGGCAGCCCUGGUGGCGAGUGGCGAACGGGUGAGUAAUACAUCGGAACGUGCCCGGUCGUGGGGGAUAACGUAGCGAAAGUUACGCUAAUACCGCAUACGAUCUGAGGAUGAAAGCGGGGGACCUUCGGGCCUCGCGCGAUCGGAGCGGCCGAUGUCAGAUUAGGUAGUUGGUGGGGUAAAGGCCUACCAAGCCGACGAUCUGUAGCUGGUCUGAGAGGACGACCAGCCACACUGGGACUAAGACACGGCCCAGACUCCUACGGGAGGCAGCAGUGGGGAAUUUUGGACAAUGGGCGCAAGCCUGAUCCAGCCAUUCCGCGUGCAGGACGAAGGCCUUCGGGUUGUAAACUGCUUUUGUACGGAACGAAAAGGCUCUGGCUAAUACCUGGGGCUCAUGACGGUACCGUAAGAAUAAGCACCGGCUAACUACGUG